UCUGUGUACAAAUCACCCAGGAAAUGACAGACAAAAUUGGAGAUUGGAGAAGAACAGUCAAAAUUCUGAAGAGAAAUUAAGUGGCCUUGAUGAAAAAGAAAGAAUGAAAAUCUCUCUGAGCAGAGGAAUCCUGGAAAAAGGUUGAGAAAUGCAAGAAUAUAAAUUACCUCCAGUUCCUUGAUUCCUGCUGUGUUCAUUCCAACAGGGGUUUAAAAACUCUUUCUAAAUUGAUGAUCUAUAUCAAAUGUGUAGGUUGCUCUCAAAGUAAUGCCUUCCAGUUCCUCAGAAAUACAGUAAAUAAAGUACAAUAUAUACAAAGAGCUCAAUAGCACUAUUUGACCAACCAAUUCUCAGCUGCAAAAUGCUAUUUUGCAACAUAGUCACCACCAUUAGUUGUGCAUUUUCAACAUCUUUGAACAAGAGCCUGCAUACUGCAUUCAUAGAUGCCUGCAACAACAGAGAACACACACUGUCGUCACCACUGCAGAAAGGCACCACCCACUGCCUCGCUGUGCUCACAUCCACUGUUUCAUCUCCAAAAAUGCUCAGCAAGCAUCAGUGAAUGCCCAUGGGUGCCAAUUCUUCUGCAUGUAGAAUCGGAGGAUCAUGAGGGAUGGAAGGGACCUCUGGAGAUCACCUAAUUCAACCCCGCUGCUAAAGCAGGUCUGAAAAGGUUUAUUUCCACAAUGGUCUCCUAGGAAUCAAGAAAUACUCCCCUGAUGACAACUGCUGACUUCCUUCGUUUUUCUUUCUGCCCUGUCUUGCUUUGUUUAACAAUAGCUUUUCAAAGCUAAAUGUGCACUUACAUAUACACUUUACUGUGAUGGAAACCUAGCUUAUCGAAGAACCUAC
ensembl:lncRNA